UUCCACGGGAAACAUAUUUCAUUUCAUUCCAUAAGAACAUACAUGUUUUAAACAUAAAUUAGCGGAUGAAUGAGCAAUCCCCAAAUACAAGAGCCCACAUAAAAACGGCAACUAAAAUCCACAUCGGGGUAGCUUUCGGUACCAAAACAAGAAGACCAAAGCCGAAACUAAAACUAGAUAAAGGCUAACAAUUACCCAAGAGCGAUCAGAAAGUUAAUUUAGUAAAUUUUAAACUUUAAUAGAGGCCAGUGAUCCGGAAUUUCCGCUGCUGCCUAUAGUCCGCCACGCGAUAAUCUCCACCUUCUGCACCAUGACUUAUCGCAGCUGCACGCGCACGCCAAACGAUACCGUCCAAAAACCAAGACCCUGCGACUUCAAAACCCAACAGGAAGAACCGCUACUCUCGGUCCACACAACCUUCGGAUACGGAUGUGACACGCCUCACGCUCACUUACUCCUAGUUAGAAGCCCAAAUAUAAUCCCCACUAAAACGAAGCCUUACCAAACGGAUUCUGCAGCUACGCUGGCUAAAAACCGAAUCAAUAAGCAAUCACUGCAACCACAACUUUAGAGAAAACUCUGCUAAAACAACUUUCACCACACCUUUAUAUUACCACCACACGGAGACACAUAGACUCUUGCUCCAACACAGCAAAACCAACCUCUCGGAGGUCCUCCCAACAACUAUACUAACAUCUUCUAAAACGACAAAGGCACAGAACUAAUAGACAUCUCCGCCACAGAGAUUUAGACCCAAAGACAAUAACAGAUCCAUAAAUUAAACCUCCCAAAAGACUACAACUGGAAGAACGCGAACCUGAGCUUGACCGCUUAACUUAACCGACUCUGGAACCGGCUGACUAUCACACAACCACCGUACAUAAGCCGACAAACUCAAACCCCGCAGUUCAACCAAGCCAAGGCGACCAAAGACGAAACCAGAGACUUUGGUUUCCUUCCUUAACCCAGAUCCGAAGCAGAGCUCCAAAUAGAAGUCUAAAUGGCGAAAUAAAACCGCACGUACAUAGAUCACGACAACACGGAACCGCUCCCGGCAGCGGUGAAAAGCACCGGCCACCGGGACGGCAGAAGAGAGGACAAGGUUUUUUUUUAAUUAGGGUUUUCUCGGCGGCGCUCUCUCUCUCUCUUUUUAAUUUUGCUUGUGAACCUUUCGGCGAAAAGAUUUGUACUACUUUACUUCUCUCCGAUUUGGAAAUUGAUUUUUUUCAUAAACAGAUUUCUGCAAAUAUACAAAAAAAUAAAUAAAUAGCCUUUUCUUUACAUGUUUGGUUUAUUAGUUCUUUUUUUUUUCUCUUAUCGUUUCCUAACCUUUAAGAUAUUAGUGGUGGUGUGGAAUGCUUGUUGAGUUACGAGUGUAGUCCUUACCUGGUACGAUACGGGGAGGGGCACGCACGCGUGUCAGUAGAGGGAUUGACGGCAAAGCUGUUUUGUGGGUAAAUGUAAGCUGUAGAAAUUGGACCAAUAUAUAGCCCAUUAUAUGUUAAUGGACACUUAUGGGCCCAUUAACACUGACAUUGACAAAUCCGCCCGCCAGGCACCACC
rnacentral:lncRNA from 1 species